rnacentral:rRNA from 1 species
AGAGUUUGAUUCGGGCUCAGAUUGAACGCUGGCGGCAGGCUUAACACAUGCAAGUCGAGCGGCAGCGGAAAGAAGCUUGCUUCUUUGCCGGCGAGCGGCGGACGGGUGAGUAAUGUCUGGGGAUCUGCCCGAUGGAGGGGGAUAACUACUGGAAACGGUAGCUAAUACCGCAUAAUGUCGCAAGACCAAAGUGGGGGACCUUCGGGCCUCACACCAUCGGAUGAACCCAGAUGGGAUUAGCUAGUAGGUGGGGUAAUGGCUCACCUAGGCGACGAUCCCUAGCUGGUCUGAGAGGAUGACCAGCCACACUGGAACUGAGACACGGUCCAGACUCCUACGGGAGGCAGCAGUGGGGAAUAUUGCACAAUAGGGGAAACCCUGAUGCAGCCAUGCCGCGUGUGUGAAGAAGGCCUUCGGGUUGUAAAGCACUUUCAGCGGGGAGGAAGGCAAUGGCGUUAAUAGUGUCAUUGAUUGACGUUACCCGCAGAAGAAGCACCGGCUAACUCCGUGCCAGCAGCCGCGGUAAUACGGAGGGUGCGAGCGUUAAUCGGAAUUACUGGGCGUAAAGCGUACGCAGGCGGUCUGUUAAGUCAGAUGUGAAAUCCCCGGGCUUAACCUGGGAACUGCAUUUGAAACUGGCAGGCUAGAGUCUCGUAGAGGGGGGUAGAAUUCCAGGUGUAGCGGUGAAAUGCGUAGAGAUCUGGAGGAAUACCGGUGGCGAAGGCGGCCCCCUGGACGAAGACUGACGCUCAGGUACGAAAGCGUGGGGAGCAAACAGGAUUAGAUACCCUGGUAGUCCCACGCUGUAAACGAUGUCGAUUUGAAGGUUGUGGUCUUGAGCCGUGGCUUUUCGGAGCUAACGCGUUAAAUCGACCGCCUGGGGAGUACGGCCG